UACGGAGGAUGCAAGCGUUAUCCGGAAUGAUUGGGCGUAAAGCGUCCGCAGGUGGCUAUGUAAGUCUGCUGUUAAAGAGUGAGGCUCAACCUCAUAAGAGCAGUGGAAACUACAUGGCUAGAGUGCGUUCGGGGCAGAGGGAAUUCCUGGUGUAGCGGUGAAAUGCGUAGAGAUCAGGAAGAACACCGGUGGCGAAAGCGCUCUGCUAGGCCGCAACUGACGCUCAGGGACGAAAGCUAGGGGAGCGAAUGGG
rnacentral:rRNA from 1 species